rnacentral:rRNA from 1 species
GCCAGACUCCUACGGGAGGCAGCAGUGGGGAAUAUUGCACAAUGGGGGAAACCCUGAUCCAGCGACGCCGCGUGAGUGAAGAAGUAUUUCGGUAUGUAAAGCUCUAUCAGCAGGGAAGAAAGAAAUGACGGUACCUGACUAAGAAGCCCCGGCUAACUACGUGCCAGCAGCCGCGGUAAUACGUAGGGGGCAAGCGUUAUCCGGAUUUACUGGGUGUAAAGGGGGCGCAGACGGCGAUGCAAGCCAGGAGUGAAAGCCCGGGGCCCAACCCCGGGACUGCUCUUGGAACUGCGUGGCUGGAGUGCAGGAGGGGCAGACGGAAUUCCUGGUGUAGCGGUGAAAUGCGUAGAUAUCAGGAGGAACACCGGCGGCGAAGGCGGCCUGCUGGACCGCGACUGACGUUGAGGCUCGAAAGCGUGGGGAGCGAACAGGAUUAGAUACCCUUGUA